rnacentral:rRNA from 1 species
CUGGAGGUAUCAGAAGUGCGAAUGCUGACAUAAGUAACGAUAAAGCGGGUGAAAAGCCCGCUCGCCGGAAGACCAAGGGUUCCUGUCCAACGUUAAUCGGGGCAGGGUGAGUCGACCCCUAAGGCGAGGCCGAAAGGCGUAGUCGAUGGGAAACAGGUUAAUAUUCCUGUACUUGGUGUUACUGCGAAGGGGGGACGGAGAAGGCUAUGUUGGCCGGGCGACGGUUGUCCCGGUUUAAGCGUGUAGGCUGGUUUUCCAGGCAAAUCCGGAAAAUCAAGGCUGAGGCGUGAUGACGAGGCACUACGGUGCUGAAGCAACAAAUGCCCUGCUUCCAGGAAAAGCCUCUAAGCAUCAGGUAACAUCAAAUCGUACCCCAAACCGACACAGGUGGUCAGGUAGAGAAUACCAAGGCGCUUGAGAGAACUCGGGUGAAGGAACUAGGCAAAAUGGUGCCGUAACUUCGGGAGAAGGCACGCUGAUAUGUAGGUGAAGCGACUUGCUCGUGGAGCUGAAAUCAGUCGAAGAUACCAGCUGGCUGCAACUGUUUAUUAAAAACACAGC